rnacentral:ncRNA from 1 species
GUGUUUGUAGAUAGAAGAGAUGGUUGGCAUCUCCCUGACUUGCUUGUUAACGUUAGCAUACAUCCGGUUAAGGCUGGCCCACCCUUGCGGUGUAUCUGAUUACCAUUUUUUUUU